UACGUAGGUGGCAAGCGUUGUCCGGAUUUACUGGGCGUAAAGAGCGCGCAGGCGGUCGUUCAAGUCGAGUGUGAAAGCCCCCGGCUCAACUGGGGAGGGUCAUUCGAUACUGAUCGACUCGAAGGCAGGAGAGGGUAGUGGAAUUCCCGGUGUAGUGGUGAAAUGCGUAGAUAUCGGGAGGAACACCGAUGGCGAAGGCAGGUCUCUGGGCAUUGACUGACGCUGAGGAGCGAAAGCAUGGGGAGCGAACAGG
rnacentral:rRNA from 1 species